GGUUCUGUGGCUUAGUCGGUUAAAGUUUCUGUCUUGUAAAAAGGAGUUCCUGGAUUCAAAUCCCAGCGGUGCUU